GAUGAACGCUGGCGGCGUGCCUAAUACAUGCCAGUCGAGCGAACAGACGAGGAGCUUGCUCCUCUGACGUUAGCGGCGGACGGGUGAGUAACACGUGGAUAACCUACCUAUAAGACUGGGAUAACUUCGGGAAACCGGAGCUAAUACCGGAUAAUAUAUUGAACCGCAUGGUUCAAUAGUGAAAGACGGUUUUGCUGUCACUUAUAGAUGGAUCCGCGCCGCAUUAGCUAGUUGGUAAGGUAACGGCUUACCAAGGCAACGAUGCGUAGCCGACCUGAGAGGGUGAUCGGCCACACUGGAACUGAAACACGGUCCAGACUCCUACGGGAGGCAGCAGUAGGGAAUCUUCCGCAAUGGGCGAAAGCUUGACGGAGCAACGCCGCGUGAGUGAUGAAGGUCUUCGGAUCGUAAAACUCUGUUAUUAGGGAAGAACAAAUGUGUAAGUAACUAUGCACGUCUUGACGGUACCUAAUCAGAAAGCCACGGCUAACUACGUG
rnacentral:rRNA from 1 species